AGCACAGUUCAGAAGCUCGCAGCAAUUAACAUCAGCUUGAGAACAAAGUUGAACCCUCCGAACUCCAAAAACCAUGGUAAGUUUUUAUUUAUGCUAUCUAUCCUGGAAACUUGAGCUUUGGUUUCUUCCUGCUGAUCUCUAGGGGUUACAGAAUCAUCUCAAAAUCUGAACAAAUUGCAACGACGUGGAAAAAAAUAAGAGUGUCUUCAGCAUAAGUCUACGAACGCAUGCCAUAGCAGAAAUGUUUGCCAGCCACCCACUGUUCGGGCACAUUUCCCCUGUGGACUCCCAGUCAGCUUUAUACUCUUGGAACGGAGGAAAUGGUGGUGGAAACAACCCUGGCACCCUGGGAAAUACUGCUGGUCAUUUGUGCUGCAGUGCUGAUCAUGAGCUUCCUUAUGGUCCUGCCCCCUGCAAUAGUGGUGAUCUGGCGGAUGAAGCGUGUGCCUCAGAUCUCGCUGCACGGCUCAGUUGUACUCACAGGCACCAGGGAUGUGUAAGGAGUUGUCAAAGAAGGAGCACUUGCAGAAGGAAGUGGAGUAGAAGCAGGAACAAAUGUUUUUAUAUUUCAUUAUAAGAAUAAAUUACAAAAAAAAUCACUUGACCGCC
rnacentral:lncRNA from 1 species